CCGGCGCACGGGCGAGUAACGCGUGUGCAACCUGCCCGGCACAGUCGGGAUAAUCCGGAGAAAUCCGGUCUAAUACCGCAUGACGCGGGAAAGGCGCAUGCCUUUUCCGCCAAAGGAGGCGACUCCGGUGCCGGCUGGGCACGCGUGACAUUAGCUAGUUGGCGGGGCGACGGCCCACCAAGGCGACGAUGUCUAGGGGUUCUGAGAGGAAGGUCCCCCACACUGGUACUGAGACACGGACCAGACUCCUACGGGAGGCAGCAG
rnacentral:rRNA from 1 species